GAUCAGGCUGUUGGUGAGGCAACGGCUCACCAAACCUAUAACCGGUACGGGCCGUGGGAGCGGGAGCCCGGAGAUGGGAACUGAGACAAGGUCCCAGGCCCUACGGGGCGCAGCAGUUACGAAAACUUGUCACUGCACGAAAGUGCGAACGGGCUACCCCGAGUGCCGUCCGCUGAGGAUGGCUUUUCUCUGCUGUAAGAAGGCGGAGGAAUAAGGAGAGGGCAAGUCUGGUGUCAGCCGCCGCGGUAAUACCAGCUCUCCGAGUGGUGGGGAUGUUUAUUGGGCUUAAAGCGUCCGUAGCUGGCCUUUCAAGUCUCUCGUUAAAUCCAGCGAUUCAAUCGUUGGACUGCGGGAGAUACUGUUAGGCUAGGGGGCGGGAGAAGCCGACGGUAUUUUCGGGGUAGGGGUAAAAUCCUAUAAUCCCGGGAAGACCACCAGUGGCGAAGGCGGUCGGCUAGCACGCGCUCGACGGUGAGGGACGAAAGCUGGGGGAGCGGACCGGAUUAGAUACCCGGGUAGUCCCAGCUGUAAACGAUGCGGGCUAGGUGAU
rnacentral:rRNA from 1 species